rnacentral:rRNA from 1 species
UGGUGAAUAUUGCACAAUGGGCGCAAGCCUGAUGCAGCGACGCUGCGUGAGGGAUGACGGCCUUCGGGUUGUAAACCUCUUUCAGCAGGGACGAAGCGAAAGUGACGGUACCUGCAAAAGAAGCACCGGCUAACUACGUGCCAGCAGCCGCGGUAAUACGUAGGGUGCAAGCAUUGUCCGGAUUUAUUGGGCGUAAAGAGCUCGUAGGCGGUCUGCCACGUCGGAUGUGAAAACUCGGGGCUCAACCCCGAGCCUGCAUCCGAUACGGGCAGACUAGAGUGUUGCAGGGGAGACUGGAAUUCCUGGUGUAGCGGUGAAAUGCGCAGAUAUCAGGAGGAACACCGGUGGCGAAGGCGGGUCUCUGGGCAACUACUGACGCUGAGGAGCGAAAGCGGGGGGAGAAAAAA